rnacentral:tRNA from 1 species
UUAAUUGAAACCAAAUUAGAGGUUUAUCAUUGUUAAUGAUAAAAUUGAGAAAACUCCAAUUAAA